UUUUUAUCCAAUCAACUGUUGAUGGACAUAUGGGCUGCUUCUCAGAGUCAGCUAUCAGAAGUUGUGCUGCCAUAAAAUAAACAUGGGAUUUUCUCCAUUUUCUGCCUCCAACCUCAGACUUUUGCCUUGAAAUUGAUUCCAAAAAAAAAAAGCAUCCAGAAAAUACAUCCAUGGAAAAUACACUCGGUGGCGACUGAGGUUUUCUAAACUGCAAGCGAUCUCUGUGCUGGGAUUCUGCAUGGCCUGCCGGAAAUAGCCUGAAUCAAUGACGACCGUACGCCCUAGACACUCCGGUCUUAACCACAUCGAGGCUCUGGGAGCGGUUUAAGCUGCUCAUCCGCCCAGAUGAGUUUUGAGGUGCUUGAAACUUCUCAGGAGAAAGCUAUUUUAUGGGCAUUGAUCCCUGCAUCAGGGAAGAGGAGCACUUGGCCGCGGAGGUCAGAACGGUUAAUAGUGUGGUCCGCUAGGAGGCGAAGGGAUAAUAAAUUAGA